UGUCAUAAACAAGCCAUGCAAGGUUUCAAGCUCUACAUGCCACGGGGUCGGUACUGGCGGCUUCGUCUCUGUCCUGAACCUCCCAGUGCUCCUAGUGAGUAUGCUGGUUUAGUGGUCCGCACCGUACUGGAGCCUGUGUUGCAAGGAUUGCAAGGGUUGCCACCUCAAGCCCAGGCCCCUGCCCUUGGUCAGGCUCUGACAGCCAUCGUGGGUGCCUGGCUUGACCACAUUCUUACCCAUGGGAUUCGGUUCAGGUCAGGAGUAAAGGCGGAAGUGGCAGGGGGUGAAUGGAACUGGGAAAAGGAAGGGGAUAAGUGGGAGAGGCAGGAGGGUCAAGUGGCCAUACUGUACCUCUGCCUUCAGCCUGCAGGGAGCGCUGCAGCUCAAACAAGACUUUGGAGUGGUCAGGGAAUUGCUGGAAGAGGAGCAGUGGAGCCUGUCCCCUGAUCUCCGCCAGACCCUGCUCAUGCUCAGCAUCUUCCAGCAGCUGGAUGGGGCCCUGCUGUGUCUGUUGCAGCAGCCCCUGCCCAAGUCUCAAGUCCACAGGAGGCCCCCCUGUUGCUGUG
rnacentral:sRNA from 1 species